CCUACGGGGGACAGCAGUGGGGAAUAUUGCGCAAUGGGCGAAAGCCUGACGCCGCGACGCCGCGUGAGGGAUGAAGGUCUUCGGAUCGUAAACCUCUGUCAGCAGGGAAGAACGGUCACUGUGCUAAUCAGCAGUGAAUUGACGGUACCUGCAAAGGAAGCACCGGCUAACUCCGUGCCAGCAGCCGCGGUAAUACGGAGGGUGCGAGUGUUAAUCGGAAUUACUGGGCGUAAAGCGCUCGUAGGCGGUAUGUCAAGUCAAGGGUGAAAUCCCCGCGCUCAACGUGGGAACUGCCUUUGAAACUGGCAAACUGGAGUGUGUGAGAGGAUAGUGGAAUUCCAGGUGUAGGAGUGAAAGCCGUAGAUAUCUGGAGGAACAUCAGUGGCGAAGGCGACUAUCUGGCACAUAACUGACGCUGAGGAGCGAAAGCGUGGGUAGCAAACAGGAUUAGAUACCCUUGUAGUC
rnacentral:rRNA from 1 species